rnacentral:rRNA from 1 species
UGGGGAAUUUUGGACAAUGGGGGCAACCCUGAUCCAGCCAUCCCGCGUGUGCGAUGAAGGCCUUCGGGUUGUAAAGCACUUUUGGCAGGGAAGAAACAGCCUGGGAUAAUACCCCGGGCGACUGACGGUACCUGCAGAAUAAGCACCGGCUAACUACGUGCCAGCAGCCGCUGUAAUACGUAGGGUGCAAGCGUUAAUCGGAAUUACUGGGCGUAAAACGUGCGCAGGCGGUUCGGAAAGAAAGGUGUGAAUCCCAGGGCUUAACCUUGGAACUGCACUUUUAACUACCGAGCUAGAGUACGUCAGAGGGGGGUAGAAUUCCACGUGUAGCAGUGAAAUGCGUAGAGAUGUGGAGGAAUACCGAUGGCGAAGGCAGCCCCCUGGGAUGAUACUGACGCUCAUGCACGAAAGCGUGGGGAGCAAACAGGAUUAGAUACCCUGGUAGUCCACGCCCUAAACGAUGUCAACUAGCUGUUGGGGUUUAUUAACCUUAGUAGCGCAGCUAACGCGUGAAGUUGACCGCCUGGGGAGUACGGUCGCAAGAUUAAAAC